rnacentral:lncRNA from 1 species
CCCAGCGGUUGGGCUUCUGUAUCACAGAAUAAUAUAAUAUCCAAAUAUAGUUCAAUAAGUAUGUCGCAGUUAAUUAUUUACAGCGUUGCGUAUUACUAAAUUUCUAUCGACGCCAACAUCUCAAAUCAAAACAUAAACUAACGACAAAGAUAUCUAGAUGAUCCUUAACCGAAUCAUGGUUACACGAUAAGAGACUGUUUAGCAAACAACAUGAAAUACUUAAACUUACUGGUACUUUUGUUUCUUGUAAUCUGUGACGUAUCUCCAUAUGUUCCAAGACCUAGAAAUUUUAGAAAAUUGCAUAAAGUUAAAGACCCAUGUCCCGACCAUCAAGUGUUGUUAUAUGCAAUGUGCAGAAAUUAUACUGAUUUAUAUACGGAAGAUACAUAAUAAGUGAAUUAUAUCAGGACAAGAAAAGUGUAUUAAACUAACUGUAAAGAAAUUAUAAUAAAAAAUUUUAUUCUCUA